UACGAAGGGGGCGAGCGUUGUUCGGAUUUACUGGGCGUAAAGGGCGCGCAGGCGGCUCAUUUUGUCAGGCGUGAAAGCCCCGGGCUUAACCUGGGAACUGCGUUUGAUACGGAUGGGCUAGAGUUCGGGAGAGGAGAGUGGAAUUCCCAGUGUAGAGGUGAAAUUCGUAGAUAUCUGGAGGAAUACCGGUGGCGAAGGCGGCAUCCUGGACCAUUACUGACGCUGAGGCGCGAAAGCUAGGGGAGCAAACGGG
rnacentral:rRNA from 1 species